CGGAGGUGAGUAAUGUCUGGGAAACUGCCUGAUGGAGGGGGAUAACUACUGGAAACGGUAGCUAAUACCGCAUAACGUCGCAAGACCAAAGAGGGGGACCUUCGGGCCUCUUGCCAUCGGAUGUGCCCAGAUGGGAUUAGCUAGUAGGUGGGGUAACGGCUCACCUAGGCGACGAUCCCUAGCUGGUCUGAGAGGAUGACCAGCCACACUGGAACUGAGACACGGUCCAG
rnacentral:rRNA from 1 species